UUUUUGUAGAGUUUGAUCCUGGCUCAGGACAAACGCUGGCGGCGUGCUUAAGACAUGCAAGUCGAACGGAGGUUAAGUGUUCCAUUAAGUGUUCUCAAUCAAAGGAUUGUUAGCAAGUUUAAAACUAGUGUGUACAUUGGUUUUAGCGUUAUGCGUAGGGCAUUUAAUGGAAUGCUUACCCUUAGUGGCGGACGGGUGAGUAACGCGUGAGUAAUCUACCUCUAUCUGGGGGACAACAGUUGGAAACGACUGCUAAUACCGCAUAGGACCACAGGCACUUGAGGUGCUAGGGGUGAAAGAUUUAUCGAAUAGAGAUGAGCUUGCGUAGCAUUAGUUAGUUGGUGGGGUAACGGCCUACCAAGACGAUGAUGCUUAGCCGAUCUGAGAGGAUGAUCGGCCACACUGGAACUGAGACACGGUCCAGACUCCUACGGGAGGCAGCAGUUAGGAAUAUUGGGCAAUGGAGGAAACUCUGACCCAGCAACGCCGCGUGAAGGAUGAAGGUCCUCGGAUUGUAAACUUCUGUAUUAGGGGAAGAAGAAAGUGACGGUACCCUAAUAGAAAGCUUCGGCAAACUACGUGCCAGCAGCCGCGGUAAGACGUAGGAAGCAAGCGUUGUCCGGAAUUACUGGGCGUAAAGGGUGCGUAGGCGGUCUUUUAAGUCUGAUGUGAAAUCCUGUGGCUUAACCAUAGAACUGCAUCAGAUACUGGGAGACUAGAGUGCGGAAGAGGUUGACGGAAUUACUAGUGUAGCGGUAGAAUGCGUAGAUAUUAGUAAGAAGACCGGUGGCGAAGGCGGUCAACUGGGACGUAACUGACGCUGAGGCACGAAAGCGUGGGGAGCAAACAGGAUUAGAUA
rnacentral:rRNA from 1 species